rnacentral:tRNA from 1 species
GGGCGCGUAGCUCAACGGUUAGAGCCGGCCGCUCAUAACGGUCCAGGUGCAGGUUCGAAUCCUGCCGCGCCCACCA